rnacentral:rRNA from 1 species
UACGAAGGGGGCUAGCGUUGCUCGGAAUCACUGGGCGUAAAGCGCACGUAGGCGGAUUGCUAAGUCAGGGGUGAAAUCCUGGAGCUCAACUCCAGAACUGCCUUUGAUACUGGCGACCUUGAGUCCGGGAGAGGUGAGUGGAACUGCGAGUGUAGAGGUGAAAUUCGUAGAUAUUCGCAAGAACACCAGUGGCGAAGGCGGCUCACUGGCCCGGUACUGACGCUGAGGUGCGAAAGCUAGGGGAGCAACGGG